AGAGUUUUGAUCCUGGCUCAGAUUGAACGCUGGCGGCGUGCUUAACACAUGCAAGUCGAACGUGAAAGUCCUUCGGGGCGAGUAAAGUGGCGCACGGGUGAGUAACGCGUGGAUAAUCUACCCUUAAGAUGGGGAUAACGGCUGGAAACGGUCGCUAAUACCGAAUACGCUCCCGAUUUUAUCAUUGGGGGGAAAGAUGGCCUCUGCUUGCAAGCUAUCGCUUAAGGAUGAGUCCGCGUCCCAUUAGCUAGUUGGCGGGGUAACGGCCCACCAAGGCAACGAUGGGUAGCCGGUCUGAGAGGAUGACCGGCCACACUGGAACUGGAACACGGUCCAGACUCCUACGGGAGGCAGCAGUGGGGAAUAUUGCGCAAUGGGCGAAAGCCUGACGCAGCGACGCCGCGUGAGGGAUGAAGGUUCUCGGAUCGUAAACCUCUGUCAGGGGGGGAAGAAAC
rnacentral:rRNA from 1 species